GACGUACCACCCAAACGUUAUUCGGAUUCACUGGGCUUACAGAGUCCGUAGGCGGUGGAGAAAGUUAGGCGUGAAAUCCCUCAGCUCAACUGAGGAAUAGCGCUUAAAACUACUUCGCUAGAGAGAGUCAGAGGUGAGCGGAACAGAUGGUGGAGCGGUGAAAUGCGUUGAUAUCAUCUGGAACACCGGUGGCGAAAGCGGCUCACUGGGGCUUUUCUGACGCUGAGGGACGAAAGCUAGGGGAGCGAACGGG
rnacentral:rRNA from 1 species